rnacentral:rRNA from 1 species
UACGAAGGGGGCUAGCGUUGUUCGGAUUAACUGGGCGUAAAGGGUGCGUAGGCGGGUUUUAAGUCAGGGGUGAAAUCCCGAGGCUCAACCUCGGAACUGCCUUUGAUACUGGAAAUCUUGAGUCUGGGAGAGGUGAGUGGAACUGCGAGUGUAGAGGUGAAAUUCGUAGAUAUUCGCAAGAACACCGGUGGCGAAGGCGGCUCACUGGCCCGGAACUGACGCUGAGGCACGGAAAGCGUGGGGAGCAAACAGGG